AGCGUAGGCGGACAUUUAAGUCAGGGGUGAAAAUCCCGGGGCUCAACCUCGGAAUUGCCUUUGAUACUGGGGUGUCUUGAGUAUGAGAGAGGUGUGUGGAACUCCGAGUGUAGAGGUGAAAUUCGUAGAUAUUCGGAAGAACACCAGUGGCGAAGGCGACACACUGGCUCAUUACUGACGCUGAGGCUCGAAAGCGUGGGGGGAGCAAACA
rnacentral:rRNA from 1 species